UACAGAGGGUGCGAGCGUUAAUCGGAAUUACUGGGCGUAAAGCGUGCGCAGGCGGUUAUAUAAGACAGUUGUGAAAUCCCCGGGCUCAACCUGGGAACUGCAUCUGUGACUGUAUAGCUAGAGUACGGUAGAGGGGGAUGGAAUUCCGCGUGUAGCAGUGAAAUGCGUAGAUAUGCGGAGGAACACCGAUAGCGAAGGCAGCUUGCUGAACCAUUAUUGACGCUGAGGCACGAAAGCGUGGGGAGCAAACAGG
rnacentral:rRNA from 1 species